UACGUAGGGUGCGAGCGUUGUCCGGAAUUAUUGGGCGUAAAGGGCUCGUAGGCGGUUUGUCGCGUCGGGAGUGAAAACACACAGCUUAACUGUGUGCUUGCUUCCGAUACGGGCAGACUAGAGGUAUGCAGGGGAGAACGGAAUUCCUGGUGUAGCGGUGAAAUGCGCAGAUAUCAGGAGGAACACCGAUUGCGAAGGCAGCUCGCUGGGACGUAACUGACGCUGAGACGCGAAAGCGUGGGGAGCAAACAGG
rnacentral:rRNA from 1 species